UGGAUCCAGACUUUGAUCAUGGCUCAGGAUGAACGCUAGCUACAGGCUUAACACAUGCAAGUCGAGGGGCAGCAUGAUUGAAGCUUGCUUCAAUUGAUGGCGACCGGCGCACGGGUGAGUAACACGUAUCCAACCCUCCGUACACUCAGGGAUAGCCUUUCGAAAGAAAGAUUAAUACCUGAUGGUAUCUUAAGCACACAUGUAAUUAAGAUUAAAGAUUUAUCGGUGUACGAUGGGGAUGCGUUCCAUUAGGUAGUAGGCGGGGUAACGGCCCACCUAGCCUACGAUGGAUAGGGGUUCUGAGAGGAAGGUCCCCCACAUUGGAACUGAGACACGGUCCAAACUCCUACGGGAGGCAGCAGUGAGGAAUAUUGGUCAAUGGACGAGAGUCUGAACCAGCCAAGUAGCGUGAAGGAUGAAGGUCCUACGGAUUGUAAACUUCUUUUAUAAGGGAAUAAAACCUCCCACGUGUGGGAGCUUGUGUGUACCUUAUGAAUAAGCAUCGGCUAACUCCGUGCCAGCAGCCGCGGUAAUACGGAGGAUGCGAGCGUUAUCCGGAUUUAUUGGGUUUAAAGGGAGCGCAGACGGGUCGUUAAGUCAGCUGUGAAAGUUUGGGGCUCAACCUUAAAAUUGCAGUUGAUACUGGCGUCCUUGAGUGCGGUUGAGGUGUGCGGAAUUCGUGGUGUAGCGGUGAAAUGCUUAGAUAUCACGAAGAACUCCGAUUGCGAAGGCAGCACACUAAGCCGUAACUGACGUUCAUGCUCGAAAGUGUGGGUAUCAAACAGGAUUAGAUACCCUGGUAGUCCACACGGUAAACGAUGGAUACUCGCUGUUGGCGAUAUACGGUCAGCGGCUUAGCGAAAGCGUUAAGUAUCCCACCUGGGGAGUACGCCGGCAACGGUGCAACUCAAAGGAAUUGACGGA
rnacentral:rRNA from 2 species